GACGAACGCUGGCGGCGUGCUUAACACAUGCAAGUCGAACGGAAAGGCCCUGCUUUUGUGGGGUGCUCGAGUGGCGAACGGGUGAGUAACACGCGAGUAACCUGCCCUUGACUUUGGGAUAACUUCUGGAAACUGGGGCUCAUACCGGAUAGGAGCUCCUGCUGCACGGUGGGGGCUGGAAAGUUUCGGCGGUUGGGGAUGGACUCGCGGCUUAUCAGCUUGUUGGUGGGGUAGUGGCUUACCAAGGCUUUGACGGGUAGCCGGCCUGAGAGGGUGACCGGCCACAUUGGGACUGGGAUACGGCCCAGACUCCUACGGGAGGCAGCAGUGGGGAAUAUUACACAAUGGGCGGAAGCCUGAUGCGGCAACGCCGCGUGCGGGAUGACGGCCUUCGGGUUGUGAACCGCUUUCGCCUGUGACGAAGCGUGAGUGACGGUAAUGGGUAAAGAAGCACCGGCUAACUACGUG
rnacentral:rRNA from 1 species